GACGACGACGACGACGACGACGACGACGACGACGACGACGACACAACGACGACACGUCGCGACAACAAUGAUAAGGAAUAGCCAAAACAAAAACGACGCUGCGUUUUAACAACAACAACAACAACAACAGCAACAAUUCGACGAUGACAACGACAACGACGAGGACGACGGAGCUCGUCCGACCGCAAGAUCGAGACUGCCACCGGCGCAGCCAGGACUUCCGGUGCAUUUCUUCGAACGAACGAACGAACGAUCUAACUUAAACCCUGGGCUCUCUGCAGCAUACCUGAAGAUAAAGGAGACAUGGAGAGAGAGAGAGAGAGAAUGAGAGAGAGUUUCAACAAGGAUCAUUGACCGAGUUCAACGAAGACUAUGCGUGGGCCCCAUUAGAAAGAGGUAUCCAAAUUUGACUGGUUAGAUGAAAGAGAAAAAAGGAAAUGAGAAAAAGGAAAGGAAAAAAAAA